rnacentral:lncRNA from 1 species
UCGAAAUGAAAUCCAUCCAACGGUCGAUUUUUAGAUAAGAUCUAUCAGAAUACUGUUGGUGUAAUUAUUAUCUGAGAUUCCAUCUGACUUCAUUGAAAAAUGUGGGGAUAGGGGUGCAUACUAUCUGAAGGUCGAGAUCGAAAUGAAAUCCAUCCAACGGUCAAUUUUUAGAUAAGAUCUAUCAGAAUACUGUUGAUGUAAUUAUUAUCUGAGAUUCCAUCUGACUUCAUUGAAAAAUGUGGGGAUAAGGGUGCAUACUAUCUGAAGGUCGAGAUCGAAAUGAAAUCCAUCCAACGGUCAAUUUUUAGAUAAGAUCUAUCAGAAUACUGUUGAUGUAAUUAUUAUCUGAGAUU